rnacentral:pre_miRNA from 1 species
UUAACUCAAAUUUGUAGAGUUGGAACGUUUGCCUACGUUUGCCGCUAGAGGCGCUGUUGCAACUGCAUACAAAUUUGAGUUA